ensembl:lncRNA
GGGAUGGGCAAGACCCUGCUAGAAACACCACAUGCUGCCUUCUCUCUGCCCUUUCCUCUCACUCGGGUCAGAAUUUCCAUCAUUAGACUCCUUAAUGUACUGGGGGUUGGGAUGACACUGGAAAAUGGUCAUGAGCCAGAAGAGCCCAUCUAGAGUUUGGUGGGGGAACCAGAGAGAGUGUGGCUGUUAAAAAUGCCAUGAAAUGCUCUGCUCUCUUCUCUUUUCCUUGCUGUCCGCGGGGCUGGAGCAGUGCAGGCCCUGUGGGACUCCCCUCUCCUUCCAAAGGGCGAGCCGGUCGCGGAGAGUGUUAUUUGUAAUAGCAGAAGACUGGAAAUGACCUGAAUAUCCAUCAGCAAGAGACUCGUUAAAUAGCUGUUUUUCAACAAUGGAAUGCUAUACGGCAAUGAAAAUGGACCACAGCUACAUGCAACAAGAAUAUUUACACUAUGAUUCUCUUCAUAUAAAGAUUAAAAUCUGUUAAGGGAACACAAGUUCAGCCCCCGGUUGGGGAGCUGAGACCUUGCAUGAUGCCGUGGGGCAGCUGAGCCCACGCAGCGCAACUAGAGAGUCCACGUGCCUCAGCAGAGACCCAGCGCGGCCAGAAAGAAACAACAAAUAAAAAGAUAAAAAUAAAAAACAGUUUUGCCUCUCACUCCCUGGAGCACCU